rnacentral:lncRNA from 1 species
UGACUUGUACAACAAAAUGAUUUGACCGCAUUGACCAAAACUGACCAUAUGUGCACUUUAAUUUGUAAAUCUAUAUACCAUGUAUACCCGCAUAGUAAAUAAGCCAUAUUUUUUAUGUCAGGAUUCAAUGUAUAAUACAAUGGACAGUAAUAUUGCAAUAUAAUAACAACAAAUUUUUGUUCGCAUUAAUUUUGGAUGUCAGCAUGUCCUCCUUUUAUUCAAAAUAUUGAUACGUAACAAAAUUUCAGUAGAUUUGAUACCUCAUGCUGACUUUAUACAACAAAAUUAUUUGACUGCAUCGACCAAAAACUGACCUGCAUAUGUGCACUUUAAUUUAAAAAUCUAUAUAUAUCCGCAUAGUAAAUCAGCCAUAUUUUUGAUGUUUGGAUUCAAUGUAUAAAAUAAAUGACCCCUGUUGGGAUGGCGCCUAAUUAAGUCUUCUCCUGGCACUCCUGUGAACAUGUUAGUAGGACGGCAAAUGUAAGCAUGAUAAGGAAAACAAUUAAUGCAAUUUUUUCCCGCAUACAUUGAGAAUGUCAGCGUUUCAUCUCUGUAUUCAUAAUAUUGAACAGUCACUAGGGUGUGUAAAACGAAACUAUUAGGCCGCAUCAUCCAAGUACAUGUACAAUGUACCAACAC